AACGAACGCUGGCGGCAUGCCUAACACAUGCCAGUCGAACGAGACCUUCGGGUCUAGUUGCGCACGGGUGCGUAACGCGUGGGAACCUGCCCUUAGGUUCGGAAUAACUCCCCGAAAGGGGUGCUAAUACCGGAUAAUGUCUUCGGACCAAAGAUUUAUCGCCUUUGGAUGGGCCCGCGUUGGAUUAGCUAGUUGGUAGGGUAAAAGCCUACCAAGGCGACGAUCCAUAGCUGGUCUGAGAGGAUGAUCAGCCACACUGGUACUGAGACACGGCCCAGACUCCUACGGGAGGAAGCAGUGGGGAAUAUUGGACAAUGGGCGAAAGCCUGAUACAGCCAUGCCGCGUGAGUGAUGAAGGCCUUAGGGUUGUAAAGCUCUUUUACCCGGGAUGAUAAUGACAGUACCGGGAGAAUAAGCUCCGGCUAACUACGUG
rnacentral:rRNA from 1 species